AUUGAACGCUGGCGGCAGGCCUAACACAUGCAAGUCGAGCGCGAAAGUCUUCGGAUGAGUAAAGCGGCGGACGGGUGAGUAACGCGUGGGAAUCUGCCCAGUAGUGGGGGACAACAGUCGGAAACGACUGCUAAUACCGCAUACGCCCUACGGGGGAAAGGGGGGGAUCUUCGGACCUCUCGCUAUUGGAUGAGCCCGCG
rnacentral:rRNA from 1 species